rnacentral:rRNA from 1 species
CCUACGGGAGGCAGCAGUGGGGAAUAUUGCACAAUGGGGGAAACCCUGAUGCAGCGACGCCGCGUGAGUGAAGAAGUAAUUCGGUAUGUAAAGCUCUAUCAGCAGGGAAGAAAAUGACGGUACCUGAGUAAGAAGCCCCGGCUAACUACGUGCCAGCAGCCGCGGUAAUACGUAGGGGGCAAGCGUUAUCCGGAUUUACUGGGUGUAAAGGGAGCGUAGACGGCAGUACAAGUCUGGAGUGAAAGGCCGGGGCUUAACCCCGGGACUGCUUUGGAAACUGUGCAGCUAGAGUGCAGGAGAGGUAAGUGGAAUUCCUAGUGUAGCGGUGAAAUGCGUAGAUAUUAGGAGGAACACCAGUGGCGAAGGCGGCUUACUGGACUGUAACUGACGUUGAGGCUCGAAAGCGUGGGGAGCAAACAGGAUUAGAUACCCCGGUAGUC